UGGAUGUUUAAAGAAUGGGCAGAAGCCUUGAUUUCUUGGUAAGGAAGGGCUGCUAUGCACAGACACUGCUUGCACAUUUCUGGAGAGAGACACUGGUUCCUGUUCUUCUUCAUGUUUUACAAGUUAAUGGGCACUGUGGUGAAACCUGUACUCUUCCAAAAGAGACAGAAGAAAAAAAGUGGGAAAAAAAAGUGAAGGAAAGAAGAACAAAGGGUGGUAAAGGGAAGACAAGUUCUGAGAGCAAGAAAAUGAGUAACUAGUGUCUUAUAGUCCUUCAAAAAGAUCUCAGCCUUAACCAGAGAGUCAAAUCUGCUACUGCUGGAGACUCCACCAUUCAUCACCAAAACAGCUUUGUUUAUGGAAAGAUGGUCCUGCCCUCAUAGCCACAAAAAACCUACUUAAAUUUUGCUUUUUCCAGCGUACAAGCCUUGUGUUUUCUUCUGUUUUGUCUACAAAGCAAACUCUAGACAGCUAGGAGUCAAGAAUGUACAAUUAUAAAUCUAGAUUAAGUAAUCCAUGUAGUACUGCUUCUAGGAAGAAAACACUACCUCAAAAGUCUGUGUCAGGAACUGAUUCCAUGUCACGGACCCUAGAAUGCUGGGAUAAGCUUCUUACCAGCAUCUUUUUGAACGAGAAAAACAUCCAGACACGACACUAAGCAGUAGCUGUUUACACUAGUUAUAUCCUAAGGCUUGUCCCGCCGUUCAAAAUAUGUGUGCUAUAUUCUGGCUAUGCACUUCAUGCUAACUCAAAUAGUUCAUUUGGAUAGCCCGGUGUUGCGGAGUACUGUAUAUCCUGACUGAUCUUAUUAUGAAAUAUUUUCAUUCUUGUUGAUAGUCCAAGGUAACUCUUUCCGGGUGUCAGCCACAGAUUGCUUGUAUUUUUCACUAUGAGAUUGAUUGUAUCAUUAAAGUUAUUUUCACA